CAGAUGAGCAUCUUCCACUGUAGCGUAAUCCAGCAAGCUAGCUUUAGGUUCCAACCUCGUGUGCUUUCUGUCAUCGUUAGCUUUCAAACACGACCCACACCCAUUGACAUUGGCUGCAGCUAAUGUUAGCUAAAGUAGUGUGCUAACUUAUUUCAAUUGCUAACCAGACAUCGCCUCACUACGUAGAAGUUGCUGACUUAACUACCGAGACGACAACUGCCUCCCAGUGUUACACAUUAGGGCAGGCGUUACUUAACGUUAACUCAUUUGUAAAAACGUUUUACUUAUAACCCCUUACGUUUAGCUUACCUUCUGUCGUGCUUACAACAAAGAGGGAAAGUCAGUUCGCAUGCGUAGAGCUUUUGUACCGCAGGAGGAGCAGAAAGGGCAGGUACUGGCUCGCGUGACGCGGUGCAGAGGGGGUGGGGGAGGCUCAUAGUGCAGAGCUGUCUGCCUGGGACGUACGCACACCGCACAGAACUCUCCAAAAUAAAUAGGAGCCUCGCAAGUGAGUUGUUCGACUAAAUGGUUAUAGUAAAAUAUGCAGAUAGGCCUACAGUUACAAUCAGUGGUGGAGGGUAACUUAGUUAGUUCUACGUAGGCUAUCAUUUUGAGGUAGACCUACUUUACAUCACUGUUUUAAUUAUCUGCUAUUAUAUACUUUAACAUAACGUUAUUUAACAGUUAUAGUUGCCAGUCACUUUACAAAUUCAGAUUUUAAAAUACAGAACAUAUGGUCAUCUAAUAAUGCACCGUUGCCAUGCUCCCCCCAACUUGGGUCACUUAUUCUGUCCUCGGGGAAUUUUGCAUCUUUCAUCCUGAUUGCUGUAUACAUCCCUCCUGAAGCCGGGGGGCACGGCUGCCUCUCAGCAGCAAUUCGCCCAUAUUAUGAAGAUUGAAAUCAACAAUCCAGACUCUGUUUGACACUAAAGCAGACCCACAGCCUUGUUCUGUCAGUGUAUCUGAACCUGCUACUCCACUGUUUUAAAUCCAGGAGCAUGAGGAUCUUUAAAUUCACAGAUGACACCACAGUAGUGGAUCUGAUCUCCAACAACGUUAAAACAGCUUACAGGAGUGAUGAGAGAGAAUCCCUGAGAGAUCCCUGGUGGACUGUGGGACCACCUUCCCUUGGCCAUCAAGUGAAAUUCAACAAGUGGACAGCUACAAAUUCCUGGGAGUGACAAUCUGCUCCACCCUGAAAUGGGGUAUAACACCACUACUAUUGUGAAGAAAGAACCUGAGAGACAGCUGAGAGACAACUGAAACAAAUUGGUAUAUCUAGUGAUGAUAUGGUACAGUUUAAUAGAGGAGGGGGAGAGCAAAUCAUUUGUGCAAUAGGGCAGAUGGUUUGAAGCACUUUAUCUGGUGGGUCGUUUGAUGUUGCCAGUAAUUUCCCUACGUGCUUAUUUAUAGUGUUUAUAUAUGUUGGAUUUUACGUUACCCAUUGUUUUAUGCUUUUAUGAUUAUUGUAUGGGUUGGAUAUUAUCAAUCUGUUUUAUACUGAAUGUAUUGUGUGCUUCAUGGUUUUACUAUUUAUUUUUAUAUUUUGUUGUUUAUUCUUUGUUUAGGUCAGCUGAGCUCUCUAAAACAAAUUCAAAUCAGCCAUGUUGAUCUGGCAAUGAAGGAUUGAAACUUGGGAUGGGAUAUAAGAUAUGCCUAAACUCAUCAUGUGUUUUUGAAUUAUUUCUUUAAUUUUAAUCUAAACAGAGCAAAGGGAACGUAUUUUCUUUCUCUAAUACGUAGAAAGAAGGCUUAUUUUUUAUGGUACCAUAUUUGAGAGAUGGAUAACUGUACUGCAAG